rnacentral:rRNA from 1 species
AUUGAACGCUGGCGGCAGGCCUAACACAUGCAAGUCGAGCGGAUGAAGGGAGCUUGCUCCUGGAUUCAGCGGCGGACGGGGGAGUAAUGCCUAGGAAUCUGCCUGGCAGUGGGGGAUAACGUCCGGAAACGGGCGCUAAUACCGCAUACGUCCUGAGGGAGAAAGUGGGGGAUCUUCGGACCUCACGCUAUCAGAUGAGCCUAGGUCGGAUUAGCUAGUUGGUGGGGUAAAGGCCUACCAAGGCGACGAUCCGUAACUGGUCUGAGAGGAUGAUCAGUCACACUGGAACUGAGACACGGUCCAGACUCCUAUGGGAGGCAGCAGUGGGGAAUAUUGGACAAUGGGCGAAAGCCUGAUCCAGCCAUGCCGCGUGUGUGAAGAAGGUCUUCGGAUUGUAAAGCACUUUAAGUUGGGAGGAAGGGCAGUAAGUUAAUACCUUGCUGUUUUGACGUUACCAACAGAAUAAGCACCGGCUAACUUCGUG